rnacentral:rRNA from 1 species
AACGAACGCUGGCGGCAUGCCUAACACAUGCAAGUCGAACGAGACCUCCGGGUCUAGUGGCGCACGGGUGCGUAACGCGUGGGAACCUGCACGUAGGUUCGGAAUAACUCCCCGAAAGGGGUGCUAAUACCGGGUAAUGUCUUCGGACCAAAGAUUUAUCGCCUUUGGAUGGGCCCGCGUUGGAUUAGCUAGUUGGUAGGGUAAAAGCCUACCAAGGCGACGAUCCAUAGCUGGUCUGAGAGGAUGAUCCGCCACACUGGGACUGAGACACGGCCCAGACUCCUACGGGAGGCAGCAGUGGGGAAUAUUGGACAAUGGGCUAAAGCCUGAUCCAGCAAUGCCGCGUGAGUGAUGAAGGCCUUAGGGUUGUAAAGCUCUUUUACCCGGGAUGAUAAUGACAGUACCGGGAGAAUAAGCUCCGGCUAACUCCGUG